rnacentral:rRNA from 1 species
UACGUAGGGUGCAAGCGUUGUCCGGAAUUAUUGGGCGUAAAGGGCGCGUAGGCGGUGCCACAAGUCACUUGUGAAAUCCCCGGGCUUAACUCGGGGCCUGCAGGCGAAACUGUGGUGCUGGAGUAUGGGAGAGGUGCGUGGAAUUCCCGGUGUAGCGGUGAAAUGCGUAGAUAUCGGAAGGAACACCGGUGGCGAAAGCGGCGCGCUGGACCUCUUCUGACGCUGAGGCGCGAAAGCCAGGGGAGCAAACGGG